UGGGCCAAAGGGCCUGUAUCUGAGUUGAAUCAUUUAGUUAUGUAUAAGAGUUUAUCAGAAAUCCCUGAAGCAUUACAAAAAUCUGAACUAUGCAUUUAAAAAAGGCUACUUUAGAGAAGCAGUAUUAAGCAAUGAUAUUACACAAGACUUGGCUUGAGUGAAUCAAUCAACAGCAGUAUGAACUGGAUCCAAGUUACAGUAACCACAUGAGAACAUAGUUUUAUAGUGAUGGAAUCUCCCUACAGCCAACUGGCAUUAUGUGAAGAGGACAAAUUUGUAUUACAAACAAAACUUGAAGGCCCCAUUAUUGGAGAGUUUGGAGUUCGAUGUCAGGUGUUCAUAAUGGCCAUGUUUUGGGAUGUUUGGAAUUGAUGCCCAAGGGUUGAAUCGGAAGUUCAGGAGUCAAGUCCGUCUGGGCAGAGCCAAGCCUGUGAAUGUCUACUCAGGAGGCUGGGUCUGUUCUCUCCGGAGCAGAGAAAAUUACGAAGACACAUGAUUGAGGUACAGAAGAGGUGGACUGCAGGAAACUACUCCUCACACCAAAGGCUGUUUCCCCAUCUCUUUCUGCACUAAGAUUCGACACAGAGCCAUGAUGCAUCAUCUUCCCCGCGUGAAUCCCUGACUUCUGGCUGGUCUGCUCUGAGACUGUCAUAUAAAGUGCAGUGGCCUCUGCACGUCCUGUUUACCCCCACUAUGCUGGAAAAUUUUCACCAUAUGUUAAUGUGAAGAGUGAACAGUAAAUGGUUAAUCUUGCUGCGAUCUGGUUCUUAUUAACUGUGGUUUAUCUCGAUGUUAAAUUCGGCGUUCGUGACACGUGAAGGAGAACGUUACAACCAUACUUAACUGAAACAAAUGAAAGAAACAACUUUGUGCACCAUCUGGUGAAACUUGCAGUAGCAUUGUUUGCUGGCGCCACCUUCUGGCAAAAGAAAUUCUUCCUGAUCUCUGUUCUAAAGGACUGUCCGUCGUCCUUCUAUUCUGUCUAACAACAGUUGGAUUUUCAAAGCAAAAUCAACAAUGGGAAGGUCCUCAUUUCAUACAGCAGAUAUGGCUGAUACUGGUGGACUGGCCAGAUACGAGCCACCUGUGUCAAGUGUCCAGAAUGCUGAAGUUUAUUGCAGUGCACUUAAACUUUUUACCACUUAACAUUGACUAGUUAUUGUCUAACUGAGGCCCUGGGCACCGGUUGUCUAAGUGGCCUAACUAAUAUUUAACAUUGUCACAGCAAUGUAACGGUGAAAUGAAUUAGCACAGUAAUGACAUAGCACAAGUGACAGGUUCGAUUCCCACCCCAUCAGCAAGGAGCUGAGACUUUCUCCACAUGAGUGUUUGGGUUUCCUCUGGCCUCUUCUCAUAUUCCAAAGACAUUCAUUGGUCAUCUGGGUAUAAUGGGGUGCUGUAGACUUGUUUGGCAAAGGCCUGUUACCAGCCUGAACUGGGGUCGGAACAAAUGACUGAGCCUGACUGCCAUAUUCAGUUGAGUGGAGCUCGGCUUACUGCUGAAUUUGUACUUCCUGUUUCACACACCAGGUCAGCAGUACGGUAAAAGGAUGAGAACAGACAGUCGACAGCAGUGAAUGACAAGCAUAAUGGAUGAGAGGUACUGGAAACACACGACACCACAGGAAAGACAAAGCUCAGCAGACAGAGCAUCUGACAAAGGUUCUCAUUACUGUUCAUUGCAAUUGUGCAGAUCACACAGGUUGCAGCUACAUCAGAAAACAACAGACAACCUCGUUAGCUGUCUGUGAAGGGAUUUGGUGUCCCGUUCGUCUGCUUCCUGCUUUGCCUGGUAUGAUGUGAUUCUCAACCACAUCUGGGCCUUCCCGGGUGCACUCCUGAGGGGUGUACAUUCUGUGUUUAAAUGGCUUCCCACCUCACUAACUCAGAUAGGCUCUCCUGUGCCAGUGUCCAGAAGGAUCUGAAGCUGGUGGACUCCCAACAGCCAAAGCACAUGUGUUUCCCAUGGGACGUGAGCUGUCAGUCUACAGCCUGAGGGAACCCAAGGAGAUGAAUGAAGUAGAUUUAGGACAGAGAUGAGGAGGAACUGCUUUUCUCAAUCUUUACUCAUAGUCUAACCCUCUCAUCUCUGGAAUCAACCUGGUGAACCUCCUCUGCACCACCUCCAAAGCCAGUAUAUCCUUCCUCAAGUAAGGAGACCAGAACUGCACACAGUACUCCAGGUGCAGCCUCACCAGUACCCUGUACAGUUGCAGCAAAACCUCCCUGCUCUUAAAUUUAAUCCCUCUAGCAAUGAAGGCCAUUUGCCUUCUUGAUAGCCUGUUGCACCUGCAAACCAAACUUUUGUAAUUCAUGCACAAACACUCCCAAGUCCCUCUGCACAGCAGCAUGCUGCAAUUUUUUACCAUUUAAAUAAUAAUCUGGUCUUCCAUUUUUCUUUCCAAAGUGGAUGACCUCACAUUUACCAACAUUGUACUCCAUCUGCCAGACCCUUACCCACUCACUUAACCUAUCUAUAUCUCUCUGCAGACUCUCCGUAUCUUCUGCACAAUUUGCUUUUCCACUCAAUUUAGUAUCAUCAACAUACUUAUAUACACUACACUCGGUCCCCUCUUCCAGAUUGUUAAUGAAUAUCAUCGACAGUAGCAGGCCCAGCACCAACCCCAUGACAUACCGCUCACCACUGAUCGCACACCCGAGAAACACCCAAGUAUCCCAACUCUCUACUUUCUAUUGGUUAACCAAUUCUCUAUCCAUGCUAAUGCAUCACCCCCAGCUCUAUGCCUCCUUAUCUUAUGGAUAAGUCUUUAAUGUGGCACCUUAUUAACGCUUUCUAGAAAUCCAAGUAAAUAACACCCAUCUGUUCCCCACUAUCCAUUGCACUUGUUAUAUCCUCAAAGAAUUCAAGUAAGUUUGUCAGACAGGACCUGCCUUUGCUGAAUCCAUGCUGCAUCUGCUUGAUAGACCCAUUUCUUUCCAGAUGCCUCAUUUCUUCUUUAAUGAUAGCUUCAAUCAUUUUCCCAACUACGAACUAACUGGCCUAUAGUUAGCUGCCUUUUGCUUAUAUCCAGGACCUGCUUUUGCUGAAUCCAUGCUGCAUCUGCCUGAUGGAUCCAGAAUAAGACUGUGGUGGGUGGGGAGGGAAGGAUUCCAGUAUUCCUUCUUGGGCUUGGACUUAGAAAGAAUCCAACCCUCCUUCCCUGGAGAGAGACAGCCAAGGGCAGGAGACAUACCACUUGAGGGUAAUCAGUAAUAAGACAGCUUUUCCAAUAAUUCUUAUUGGGAAUUGAGGAAUAUCUCCAUCACAUUGGAGGAGGGGGGAACAUGGAAUCACAUCCCAGAGAGGCAGAAAUGGAAGAUAGACAAAUGCAUAAGGCAGAUGAUUUAUGGGGUGGUGGGAAGGGCUGGCGAAGGAGCUCAGCAACACUGAAAACACGCUUCCAUCACUAACCAAUGGGUUAACCCCACCUCAGAGGAAAGCCAAUGAGUGUUUGCAGCUUUUGCUGCUGUCGUUCCAGAGUUCUAACUCCUGCAGAUGAUGGGCUGUGAACUCCACUCUCAGGGAACCCAAUUUGGAUCUGCAGAGAAAUGAGAAGUGAAUCAAAUAAACCGCUCCGCGCACGGAUGCAAGAACUUCACAACGCAGUGAUUCACUCUUCCAAACCAUAUCGAAACCUCUACAGCAAGUUCAGAACUCACAGCCUGUCCACAGGGCAGAGACAAGGCACCUUGAUUAAGGCACCUGAUCUUCAUUUUGUACCGGCAGCGUAGAAGGCUCCAGGUUACAGCGGUUAUUGCUGGAUCAGAAGUUCGUCACCGGUAACCAAUCACCGGAAUCCAGUCAUCUCACCGUAGCCACUGCGGUUAUAUGCUCAUCCCCGGACCACCAAGAAUUGUGGACUUCAGUUGCUUCGGUGCCUGUGGCUGCUUAGCAAAUUCAGUUGUUUUCGUGUCCAGCUGAGUUGCUGGACGCUUUUGCUGCCGCUCCAAGUAAGGUACGAAUUCUGUCGUUUUCGUGGCCGGCUAAGAUGUGCUGCCCAUUUGCUGCCACUCCGAGCAAAGAUUCGAAUGGACUGUCAUUGUGUGGUUUCAUCUCCUCGUUGUCCAAGUCCUUUCCAGCUGAGCAGAUCUGGCUGUUUGCCGCUACUCUGAGUUGGAUAUUCUGUCUCUUCGUUGUCCAAGUCCUUUCCAGUUGAGUAGGUCCAGCCGUUUGCUGCUACUCUGAGUUGGGUAUUCUGUCUUUUUGUGGUCCAAGUCCAAGCUCAUGGUCCGAAUUCUGAGUUCAAGUCAAGAUCCAAGUGCCAAGUCCAAGUCAAGAUCCAAGUUUUGAGUCCAAGUUGAGUCCGAGUCCGGGUUCCUAGUCCAAGUUGAGUCCGAGUCCAGGUUCCUAGUCCAAGCCCUAGUCCAGGUUUUACCAGUUUGUUAUCUAAUGUUUACGUCCAUGUUGACAUUUUGUCCUGGCUCCCUGGCCUUCCUAGUAACUAUCAAUAAACACUGUUCUGUUUAUACUACCUCUGUGUCUGUGUCCUGCACUUGGGUCCGCUCCCAACACCCCCUUGUAACAGUCUCCUCUAUCACCUGCUUGGCCUGCACACUCCCCCCUUCCCUCUCCUUCUUAUUCUGGCUUCUUCCCCCUUACUUUCCAGUCCUGAAGAAGGGUCUCAGCCCAAAGCGCUAUUUAUUCCUCCCCAUACAUGCUGCCUGACCUGCUGAGUUCAUCCAGCAUUUUAUAUAUG